ACCUUCUCCUGCAGCACAGCCUGGAGCCCGACUACUGCACAGUGGUAGAGAUUACAGCCCAGGAGGCUCCAUAGUGAAGGGUUGUCAGAGGAGGACACGCCCGCCCCCAGGAAGGAAACCCUGUCCUCAGCGACAAGAGGACACGCAGGAAGCAAGGAGGCAAGUGGGACAGGAAGCGAGGGGCUCGUGCUCACCACGCCAGCACAGGGGAGGAGGAGCCAAGCAAAGUGCAGCGCAUGCGCACACGAGGAGGAGUAUUAAUGCUCCAUAUUGGAGAAGGGCAGAAUGACCCGGGGAAAACAGGGAGAGAUUCUGGAAUUCCUUGGAUUUCUUCAUUCAAUCGCUCUGGUGUCAGAGUCCACAUCCUGACCCUCCAGAAGUCUUCUCCACCGAUCAGCCAUGCAGACCCAUCUCUAGACCAUGUUCCUACAAUAUAGGUUCCUCUCAGUGGAGAUCUUCUAUGUAAGAGCCUUCUCCUGACCCAACAAGAAUGGACAGGGACAAGAUGGCGGAGAGGAUAAUAAAUCUCACCCUAGAGAUCCUCUUCCGGCUUAC